rnacentral:sRNA from 1 species
GUGCCGCUUCCGCAAGGUUUUCUGGCCUGUUGCAGCCAUGGUGCAUCGCAGUUGCGUGUUGUUCAGAAAGUAUGGAAAUUUCAUCGAUAACCUAAGACUCUUCACCAGGGGAGGAUGCGGUGGAAUGGGUUAUCCUCGUUUAGGUGGAGAAGGUGGAAAAGGUGGUGACGUCUGGGUUGUAGCCCAGAACAGAAUGACUUUAAAACAACUUAAAGACAAGUAUCCUCAGAAACGGUUUGUGGCUGGAGUAGGAGCAAACAGCAAGUAAGUAAUUACUGAAUGACUUAAAUUUUAGAAAAUCAAACCCUUCUGGAAAUGUUUACGUUAUAAAAUAAAAACUUAAUUGUUAAUUUGAAGUAAAUUAUUUCCUGUACUUAUAACUGAGCAAAAGCCUAAAAUGUCUCAACUCAUAAAAGACUGAUACUAAAGAAUAUUUCAGAGUUUUAAAACUGUUUGUCCGUUUGUUUUCCCAAUGUCUAUCUG